rnacentral:misc_RNA from 1 species
GAUGAAGAACGUAGCGAAAUGCGAUACUUGGUGUGAAUUGCAGAAUCCCGUGAACCAUCGAGUCUUUGAACGCAAGUUGCGCCCGAAGCCAUCAGGUUGAGGGCACGUCUGCCUGGGCGUCACAUAUCGUUGCCCAAUGCCUAUUGCAGUGCAAUAGGAAUUUCUAGGGCGAAUGAUGGCUUCCCGUGAGCGUUGUUGCCUCGCGGUUGGUUGAAAAUCGAGUCCUUGGUAGGGUGUGCCAUGGUAGAUGGUGGUCGAGUUAGAACGAUACCGAUCAUGUGCAUGCUCCCCAAAAUAUGGCCUCUAUGACCCACACGCGUCUUUUGACGCUCAUGACGAGACCUCAGGUCAGGCGGGGCUACCCGCUGAAUUUAAGCAUAUCAAUAAUCGGAGGA